CCCUUAGAUGUUCUGGGCCGCACGCGCGCUACAAUGAUGAAUUCAACGAGUUUAUAACCUUGGUUGAAAAGCCUGGGUAAUCUUUUGAACUUUCGUCGUGAUGGGGCUAGACCCUUGCAAUUAUUGGUCUCCAACGAGGAAUUCCUAGUAAACGCAAGUCAUCAGCUUGCAUUGAUUACGUCCCUGCCCUUUGUACACACCGCCCGUCGCACCUACCGAUUGAAUGGUCCGGUGAAAUCUUCGGAUUGAGACGUUGAUUUCUUCACGGAAAACGCUGUUUUAAAAAGUUGAUUAAACCUUACCAUUUAGAGGAAGGUGAAGUCGUAACA
rnacentral:rRNA from 1 species